GACGAACGCUGGCGGCGUGCCUAACACAUGCAAGUCGAGCGGAGAUAAUCCUUCGGGAGUAUCUAAGCGGCGGACGGGUGAGUAACACGUGGGCAACCUGCCUCACAGAGGGGGAUAGGCUCCCGAAAGGGAGAUUAAUACCGCAUAAGAAGUAAGAGUCGCAUGAUUCAAGCUUUAAAGGCUGUAUACCUAAAAGGGUGUAUAGUCACUGUGAGAUGGGCCCGCGGCGCAUUAGUUAGUUGGUGAGGUAACGGCUCACCAAGGCGACGAUGCGUAGCCGACCUGAGAGGGUGAACGGCCACAUUGGAACUGAGAGACGGUCCAGACUCCUACGGGAGGCAGCAGUGGGGAAUAUUGCACAAUGGGCGGAAGCCUGAUGCAGCAACGCCGCGUGAGUGAAGAAGGUUUUCGGAUUGUAAAGCUCUGUCUUCGGGGACGAUAAUGACGGUACCCGAGGAGGAAGCCACGGCUAACUACGUGCCAGCAGCCGCGGUAAUACGUAGGUGGCGAGCGUUGUCCGGAUUUACUGGGUGUAAAGGAUGCGUAGGCGGAUAUUCAAGUCAGAUGUGAAAAUCCCGGGCUUAACUUGGGAACUGCAUUUGAAACUGGGUAUCUGGAGUGCAGGAGAGGUGAGCGGAAUUCCUAGUGUAGCGGUGAAAUGCGUAGAGAUUAGGAAGAACACCGGUGGCGAAGGCGGCUCACUGGACUGUAACUGACGCUGAGGCAUGAAAGCGUGGGUAGCAAACAGGAUUAGAUACCCUGGUAGUCCACGCCGUAAACGAUGAAUAUUAGGUGUGGGAGGUAUCGACUCCUUCCGUGCCGUCGUAAACACAUUAAGUAUUCCACCUGGGGAGUACGGUCGCAAGAUUAAAACUCAAAGGAAUUGACGGGGGCCCGCACAAGCAGCGGAGCAUGUGGUUUAAUUCGAAGCAACGCGAAGAACCUUACCUGGACUUGACAUCCCCUGAAUAGAUUAGAGAUAAUUGAAGCCCUUCGGGGCAGGGAGACAGGUGGUGCAUGGUUGUCGUCAGCUCGUGUCGUGAGAUGUUAGGUUAAGUCCUGCAACGAGCGCAACCCUUGUCAUUAGUUGCUACCAGUAAGAUGAGCACUCUAGUGAGACUGCCGCGGUUAACGCGGAGGAAGGUGGGGAUGACGUCAAAUCAUCAUGCCCCUUAUGUCCAGGGCUACACACGUGCUACAAUGGGCAGUACAAUGAGACGCAAGCCCGCGAGGGGGAGCCAAACCAUAAAACUGUUCCCAGUUCGGAUUGCAGGCUGAAACCCGCCUGCAUGAAGCUGGAGUUGCUAGUAAUCGCAAAUCAGCAUGUUGCGGUGAAUACGUUCCCGGGCCUUGUACACACCGCCCGUCACACCAUGAGAGUUAACAACACCCGAAGUCCGUGAGAUAACCGAAAGGGGUCAGCGGCCGAAGGUGGGGUCAAUAAUUGGGGUG
rnacentral:rRNA from 1 species